ACUAUGGUGGAAGGUGAUGGAAUACUGCACCAGGCUGCUCAGCUACCUUCUCUGCAGUUAUUUUUGACUUGUAUAAAUGCCUCCCUAUGCCAUUUCAUCAAGGGAACCUUUUUUGCUAACAGUGUUGAAUGCGAUGGCCUCUCGAGGUCGCUCCCAAGCCCUAGAAUUCUGUUAUUUCUUUCUUCUGCAUACGCUGUUGCAAAGCAAAGGCAAAACAGUUAGAGCUUACAACACAGUUCUCAAUCUGGUAACUAAAGGUAAAAGGAAACCCAAGGCAGCUCCUCAUAACAACCACCCUAACAAAGACAACCUCAGAGGUUACGGCAAAGGGAGAAGAGCACAAGGCCAACCGAAAGCAGCUUUUCUUACCGUGUUGCCUUUGCCCAGGGUGUCCUCCUCUUUGCCCGUCUUCCAUCUGCCUACAGCCCCGCUAACAGGGCGAAGCCUUUGCCCAGGGUGUCCUCCUCUUUGCCCGUCUUCCAUUUGCCGCUCCCUCUUGCCUCGCCGUUCCACACGACGCCUCCUCCUUCUUCUGCGCUGGCUGCUGCAAACAAAGCACAAGCCAUUAGACAUGGGUUCGAAGCUCCACCUCCUGUGCCAGAAAGAAAUGCGGAGGACUUUCAAGUUUGUGUUCAUUAGGGUGGUUGUUUUGAGGAGCUGCGUUUGGAUCCCUGGCUUUGUCUUACCAACACCAACUUAAAUCAACUUUUCUCACCAUCCUGAGGCACAGAGCUCCUCAAGCUACUUCUGACGUGCGGCUCCAACCCCGGGUAAGUAGGGUAGGGCGCACACAGAAGCAGCCUGAGCACCUGCACCCUUGCUUACAGAGCGGUCACACAGUAGAAAACCAACCCGGGCACCUAACGUGCCAGCGCUGUUCUGCUUACUGUAGCCCUGCUGACAGGGCAGUGCCUUUACUGUUUCCCCUCUUCAGUCUUCUGGUGGUCUUCUUGUCGCCCAUUGUUGCGUCACAGUUCCACAUGACACGUCUUCUUUCUUGUGCUCUGGCUGCUACCAGCUGAAGUCCUUACCUGUUGACAGGGCAGUACCUUUGUCCAGGCUGUUUUUUCCUUCAUUCAUCAUUGCUGCUACUCUCCUCUUCUUACUCAUUAAUAUUGUUCAUUCCCUUUGAUUUAUGUUGUGUUUUUUUUCCCCUAGCACCUGCUGCCAAAGGAACAACAUACAGCUUAAAUGGAGAUUAGUAUCUACCAGUAUCUGCUCCUAAAGACCAGCUAUCUAGCAAAUAAAAAUUACUACACAUUGCA
rnacentral:lncRNA from 1 species